AAUAGAUACCCGGGUAGUCCACGCCGUAAACGAUGAGUGCUAAGUGUUAGGGGGUUUCCGCCCCUUAGUGCUGCAGCUAACGCAUUAAGCACUCCGCCUGGGGAGUACGGUCGCAAGACUGAAACUCAAAGGAAUUGACGGGGGCCCGCACAAGCGGUGGAGCAUGUGGUUUAAUUCGAAGCAACGCGAAGAACCUUACCAGGUCUUGACAUCCCAUUGACCACUAUGGAGACAUAGUUUUCCCUUCGGGGACAACGGUGACAGGUGGUGCAUGGUUGUCGUCAGCUCGUGUCGUGAGAUGUUGGGUUAAGUCCCGCAACGAGCGCAACCCUUGUUCUUAGUUGCCAUCAUUUAGUUGGGCACUCUAAGGAGACUGCCGGUGACAAACCGGAGGAAGGUGGGGAUGACGUCAAAGUCAUCAUGCCCCUUAUGACCUGGGCUACACACGUGCUACAAUGGACGGUACAAACGGUUGCCAACCCGCGAGGGGGGAGCUAAUCCGGAUAAAACCGGUUCUCAGUUCGGAUUGCAGGCUGCAACUCGCUACAUGAACG
rnacentral:rRNA from 1 species